rnacentral:rRNA from 1 species
UGCCAGCAGCCGCGGUAAGACGAACCGUCCAAACGUUAUUCGGUAUCACUGGGCGUAAAGCGCGCGUAGGCGGCUUUUUAAGUCAGAUGUGAAAGUCCACGGCUCAACCGUGGAAGUGCAUUUGAAACUGGGAGGCUUGAGUAUUGGAGGGGGUGGUGGAAUUCCCGGUGUAGAGGUGAAAUUCGUAGAUAUCGGGAGGAAUACCGGUGGCGAAGGCGACCACCUGGCCAAAUACUGACGCUGAGAUGCAAAAGCGUGGGGAGCAAACAGGAUUAGAUA